GAUGAACGCUGGCGGCGUGCCUAAUACAUGCAAGUCGAGCGAACAGAUGAGGAGCUUGCUCCUCUGACGUUAGCGGCGGACGGGUGAGUAACACGUGGAUAACCUACCUAUAAGACUGGGAUAACUUCGGGAAACCGGAGCAAAUACCGGAUAAUAUAUUGAACCGCAUGGUUCAAUAGUGAAAGACGGUUUUGCUGUCACUUAUAGAUGGAUCCGCGCCGCAUUAGCUAGUUGGUAAGGUAACGGCUUACCAAGGCAACGAUGCGUAGCCGACCUGAGAGGGUGAUCGGCCACACUGGAACUGAGACACGGUCCAGACUCCUACGGGAGGCAGCAGUAGGGAAUCUUCCGCAAUGGGCGAAAGCCUGACGGAGCAACGCCGCGUGAGUGAUGAAGGUCUUCGGAUCGUAAAACUCUGUUAUUAGGGAAGAACAAAUGUGUAAGUAACUAUGCACGUCUUGACGGUACCUAAUCAGAAAGCCACGGCUAACUACGUG
rnacentral:rRNA from 1 species